UACGUAGGGGGCAAGCGUUGUCCGGAUUUAUUGGGCGUAAAGAGCGUGUAGGCGGCCAGGUAGGUCCGCUGUGAAAACUGGAGGCUUAACCUCCAGCUGUCGAUGGAAACCAUCUGGCUAGAGUCCGGAAGAGGAGAGUGGAAUUCCUGGUGUAGCGGUGAAAUGCGCAGAUAUCAGGAAGAACACCCGUGGCGAAGGCGGCUCUCUGGGACGGUACUGACGCUGAGACGCGAAAGCGUGGGGAGCGAACAGG
rnacentral:rRNA from 1 species